UCAAUGCUGUAUCAUGAUCCCACUUUGUAAAGCACUUCAGGGAUUUUUUCCCCCUCAAAGAAAGCUGCAGAAGUUUUCUUCUCAAAAUCUAACCCAGUCCAACCUUGUUAAAUUCUUAAGUUCUCAACAAUGAGAGUUAGUUGCCUAUAUCAGAGAAGGAUGAGCAAAUAUUUGAAAACAAACAACAAUCCUGUGCUAAGAUAUUGUUAUGAUUGAACCCCCAGAAGUGAUAAUAAUAUGGAAAUUAUAAAGAUUUGAAGUCCCAAGGGCAACUUUUACUCAAAUGUGUUAUAUGUACAUAGCAAUAUAUUUUCUACUUAAAACCAUAAUGGGAAUGAAAAGCCUUAUGGCUUUUUCUUCUCUUGUAGGCAAGAACACCUCCUAAAAUGAUAAAGACUGAUAUUUCAGAUGGUGCACACAAAUCACAGCACAUAACAUUUUAAAAGCCAGAUUCACUGAUACUUUGUAAGACUUAUUCAGCCAACUAAAAGAAAUACUGAUGGUACUGACAGCUCUUCAGAAAUUCUCAAAGACAUCUGUUCAUCGAUGGGGUCUGUAGUCUUACAAAAGAGAAAUCUGAAGGGAUGCCAACUGGAAAAUAUUCCCUCAAGCCUUAGAAAUGCUUAGGGUUGGGCUUGAACUUCAAGUCAGUUUCCGUCCUUCCUUCCUGCCUUCCUGCCUUCCAUUAUUUUUUUUAGAUUUUCUCUUACCUUCCUCCAUUUUUAAUACCAAUUUCAUUGUGCUCCACUUGUUGUGUUCCAUUAUAAAUUAUAAUAACCACUCAGCUUUGCAUUUAUGGCAUUGGAGAACCCACAGCUGCAAACCUCCUCAAAAUACUCAAAGACAUGGAAAACUGGGGCUUGAUAAAGCUGAUUUUAUGUUUAACAAAGAGUUCAAAGAAAUGGUCUCUUACGUGUAAUAGGUACCAUAUAGAGUAAAUUUGGAUGUAAUGAGAAGCUGCAGACCAAUGAAGAAAGCAAAAAUGUAUACAUAUAUGUUAACAAACAUAUAAAAAAUAUAUAAAUUGAUCCCAAAGUGAGGAAUAAGAAAUCGUCAACAUAAUUAUCAUAUUCCUCCUGGCAAAGGACUUGCAUGCUGGCAAUUAGCUGCUAACAUUGGCAUUCAUCACCAGCACCAGAGUGAAGGCACCCAGAGGAGCAGGGGAAGGGUGAACAUAACUGCAAGAAGUAGGGUCUGUGAACAGAGAUCGUCUUCCUUGUGCAAACUUGUACAGAAACCAUAGGAGGACUCAGCCUUCCAAUACUUUUAAAGGAUCAAAUCUGCCCUGGAGGCAAUCCUGAGGUAUUCUGGGAAGUGAGCAGGUCCACAAGAACCUGAAGGAGAGCACAGCCAGGACAGCUGGGUGCCACUGGCCAAGGGAAUAUUCUACACCCCAGAAUGCCAUGCUCAGUCUAUAAACUGGGAAGACUUGGCUAGGAACUGCUAAUUGCUGUUCAGGGAUGGACUGGGUAUUGGUCAGUGGGUGGUGAACAAUUGUGUUGUGUAUCACUUGUUUUUCUUGGGUUUUGCACCUCU